rnacentral:tRNA from 1 species
GGGCCUAUAACUCAGGGGAUAGAGUAUACGCCUGAUAAGCGUGACGCCGGUCGUUCGAAUCGACCUAGGCCCA